rnacentral:rRNA from 1 species
AUUGAACGCUGGCGGCAUGCUUUACACAUGCAAGUCGAACGAGUGGCGAACGGGUGAGUAAUAUAUCGGAACGUACCGAGUAAUGGGGGAUAACCAAUCGAAAGAUUGGCUAAUACCGCAUAUUAUGCGAGCGGCCGAUAAUUGAUUAGCUAGUGGGUGGGGUAAAGGCCUACCAAGGCGACGAUCAGUAGCGGGUCUGAGAGGACGAUGCGCCAAACGGGGACUGUGACAGGGCCCAGACUCCUACGGGAGUCAGCAGUGGGGAAUUUGGGACAAUGGGGGGAACCCUGAUCCAGCCAUGCCGCGUGUAUGAAGAAGGCCUUCGGGUUGUAAAGUAUGUUUGUUAGGGAAUCGGUACCUAAAGAAUAAGCACCGGCUAACUCCGUGCCAGCAGCCGCGGUAAUUC